rnacentral:rRNA from 1 species
GACGAACGCUGGCGGCGUGCUUAACACAUGCAAGUCGCACGGAGCGCCCCUGCUUUUGUGGGGGGCUCGAGUGGCGAACGGGGGAGUAACACGUGAGUAACCUGCCCACGACUUUGGGAUAACUUCAGGGAACUGGGACUAAUACCGGAUAGGAGAUCCUGCUGCCUGGUGGGGGUUGGAAUGCUUCGGCGGAUGGGGAUGGACUGGCGGCUUAUCAGCUUGUUUGUGGGGUAGUGGCUGACCAAGGCUUUGACGGGUAGCCGGCCGGAGAGGGUGACCGGCCAGAUUGGGAGUGAGAGACGGACGAGACAGAUACGGGAGGCAGCAGGGGGGAAUAAAGCAUAGUGGGCGGGAGCCAGACUGAGCGACGCCGGGUGCGUGAAGAAGGCCGGCGGGUGGGUAACCGCUUGCGUUUGUGAGGGAUCGUAAGUGACGGUAAUGGGUAAAGAAGCCCCGGCUAACUACGUG